rnacentral:rRNA from 1 species
AGGACGAACGCUGGCGGCGUGCUUAACACAUGCAAGUCGAGCGGUAAGGCCCUUUCGGGGGUACACGAGCGGCGAACGGGUGAGUAACACGUGAGCAAUCUGCCCUUCACUUCGGGAUAAGCCUCGGAAACGGGGUCUAAUACCGGAUAUGACCGCGCUACGCAUGUGGUGUGGUGGAAAGUUCUGGCGGUGGAGGAUGAGCUCGCGGCCUAUCAGCUUGUUGGUGGGGUAAUGGCCUACCAAGGCUUCGACGGGUAGCCGGCCUGAGAGGGUGACCGGCCACACUGGGACUGAGACACGGCCCAGACUCCUACGGGAGGCAGCAGUGGGGAAUAUUGGACAAUGGGCGAAAGCCUGAUCCAGCAACGCCGCGUGAGGGAUGACGGCCUUCGGGUUGUAAACCUCUUUCAGCGCCGACGAAGCGAGAGUGACGGUAGGCGCAGAAGAAGCACCGGCCAACUACGUGCCAGCAGCCGCGGU